rnacentral:rRNA from 1 species
UAGUAACGGCGAGUGAAGCGGCAACAGCUCAAAUUUGAAAUCUGGCCCCCUCGGGGCCCGAGUUGUAAUUUGUAGAGGGUGCUUUGGCGUCGGCCGCGGUCUAAGUUCCUUGGAACAGGACGUCACAGAGGGUGAGAAUCCCGUACGUGGCCGCCGGUCUUCGCCGUGUAAAGCCCCUUCGACGAGUCGAGUUGUUUGGGAAUGCAGCUCUAAAUGGGAGGUAAAUUUCUUCUAAAGCUAAAUAUUGGCCAGAGACCGAUAGCGCACAAGUAGAGUGAUCGAAAGAUGAAAAGCACUUUGGAAAGAGAGUCAAAAAGCACGUGAAAUUGUUGAAAGGGAAGCGCUUGCAGCCAGACUUGCCCGCAGUUGCUCACCCGGGGCUACGCCCCGGGGCACUCUUCUGCGGGCAGGCCAGCAUCAGUUUGGGCGGCCGGACAAAGACCUCUAUCACGUAUCUUCCCUCGGGAUGACCUUAUAGGGGAGGUGUAAUGCGGCCAGCCUGGAUUGAGGUCCGCGCAUCAGCUAGGAUGCUGGCGUAAUGGCUGUAAGCGGCCCGUCUUGAAACACGGACCAAGGAGUCUAACAUCUAUGCGAGUGUUUGGGUGUCAAGCCCGGGCGCGCAAUGAAAGUGAACGGAGGUGGGAACCCCCCGGGGCGCACCAUCGACCGAUCCUGAUGUCUUCGGAUGGAUUUGAGUAAGAGCAUAGCUGUUGGGACCCGAAAGAUGGUGAACUAUGCCUGAAUAGGGUGAAGCCAGAGGAAACUCUGGUGGAGGCUCGCAGCGGUUCUGACGUGCAAAUCGAUCGUCAAAUUUGGGCAUA